rnacentral:rRNA from 1 species
UUUACAUUGCUUGAGUGCGUGGGUUUGGUUGGCUCAUUGGUGAGUUAAAAUCACUAAAUAUAUACACACGAGUGUUGGGUAAGGCUGAUUGAAUCAGUGGGUGAUUCAAGCCGCACAAGGUUGUGAAAGAAUCGAUAGUGUUCCGUUGCGUUGCUUUUACCUUGUGACACCUACUAUGGUGGUGACGGGUGACGGAGAAUUAGGGUUCGAUUCCGGAGAGGGAGCCUGAGAACGGCUACCACAUCCAAGGAAGGCAGCAGGCACGCAAAUUACCCAAUCCUAACACGGGGAGGUAGUGACAAUAAAUAACAAUAUCGGGCUCUACGACUCUGGUAAUUGGAAUGAGUACAAUCUAAAUCCUAACGAGGAUACAUUGGAGGGCAAGUGUGGUGCCAGCAGCCGUGGUAAUUCCAGCUCCAAUAGCAUAUUUUUAAGUUGUUGCAUUUAAAAAGCUCGUAGUUGAACUUUGGGUUGGGUCGGCCGGGCCGCCUUUGGUGUGCACCGGUCAUCUCGUCCCUUCUGCUGGCGAUGCGCUCCUGGCCUUAGCUGGCCGGGUCAUGCCUCCGGCGCUGUUACUUUGAAGAAGUUAGAGUGCUCAAAGAAAAGACUAUGCUCUGGAUACAUUAGCAUGGGAUAACAUUAUAGGAUUUCGUUCCUAUUACGUUGGCCUUCGGGAUCAGAGUAAUGAUUAACAGGGACAAUCGGGGGCAUUCGUAUUUCAUAGCCAGAGGUGAAAUUCUUGGAUUUAUGAAAGACGAACAACUGCGAAAUCAUUUGCCAAGGAUGUUUUCAUUAAUCAAGAACGAAAGUUGGGGGCUCGAAGACGAUCAGAUACCGUCCUAGUCUCAAGCAUAAACGAUGCCGACCAUGGAUCGGCGGAUGUUACUUUUAGGACUCCGCCGACACCUUAUGAGAAAUCAAAGUCUUUGGGUUCCGGGGGAAGUAUGGUCGCAAGGCUGAAAAUUAAAGGAAUUGACGGAAGGGCACCACCAGGUGUAACGAACCUCAUUUUCUUGACGGAAUAAUCAUAAGUUUUGGGAUUAAAUUGAAUGAAAUCAAAAGUUAUAAACAUCGGAGAAUGGAUCGCUACUAACUAUCUGGGUUGAAACGAGAAUAAUAAAAUUAUUCACAUUCAAAGAUGAGAAAUCUGGAAUAACUCAUGCAAAGGUGCGGAAAUGAUGAAAUCUGAUAUAUCAUAUUUAAAUGAUACAUCUCGUAGUUUGAUAACGUCUGGUACAGAUUCCUACAACAUAACUAAUUUAGAAAUCUGUGUUGAUACAAAUUCAUAACAAAAUAUUCAGUACAAUACAAAAGUGUUCCAAAAUGAAACUAUGAAAUCUGGAACAGAAGGAAAUAAAGAAAUCUGUUGUCCACGAUAAACACAUCCCUUCCAUUCUGUUCAUCUCCCUCCAGCUUCCUACUGUGAAUUACCUGCACUCAAUGAAACUAGUGAGCCAAAGGCCCAGCAGGUAAAAUCUGGAAUAACGAAAGCAAAUCAUACAAUCGUCCAUGAACUAAUAACUUGAAUCACGCUUAUGAACAAACAAGCGUAAACAUA